CCUACGGGCGGCUGCAGUGGGGAAUAUUGCACAAUGGGCGAAAGCCUGAUGCAGCAACGCCGCGUGAAGGAUGAAGGCUUUCGGGUCGUAAACUUCUGUCCUUGGGGAAGAAAAAAAUGACGGUACCCAUGGAGGAAGCCCCGGCUAACUACGUGCCAGCAGCCGCGGUAAUACGUAGGGGGCGAGCGUUAUCCGGAAUUAUUGGGCGUAAAGAGUGCGUAGGUGGUUACCUAAGCGCAGGGUUUAAGGCAAUGGCUCAACCAUUGUUCGCCUUGCGAACUGGGCUACUUGAGUGCAGGAGAGGAAAGCGGAAUUCCUAGUGUAGCGGUGAAAUGCGUAGAUAUUAGGAGGAACACCAGUGGCGAAGGCGGCUUUCUGGACUGUAACUGACACUGAGGCACGAAAGCGUGGGGAGCAAACAGGCUUAGAUACCCCUGUAGUC
rnacentral:rRNA from 1 species